rnacentral:rRNA from 1 species
UACGUAGGGGGCAAGCGUUGUCCGGAAUCAUUGGGCGUAAAGAGCGUGUAGGCGGCCUGGCAAGUGGAAGGUGAAAUCCCUCGGCUUAACCGAGGAACUGCCCUCCAAACUGCUUGGCUUGAGUCCGGGAGAGGUGAGUGGAAUUCCCAGUGUAGCGGUGAAAUGCGUAGAUAUUGGGAGGAACACCAGUGGCGAAGGCGGCUCACUGGACCGGAACUGACGCUGAGGCGCGAAAGCGUGGGGAGCAAAUGGG